UACGGGGGGAGCAAGCGUUGUUCGGAUUUACUGGGCGUAAAGGGCGCGUAGGCGGCCACCGCAAGUCGACUGUGAAAUCUCCGGGCUUAACCCGGAAAGGUCAGCCGAUACUGCGGGGCUAGAGUGCAGAAGGGGCAACUGGAAUUCUCGGUGUAGCGGUGAAAUGCGUAGAUAUCGGGAGGAACACCUGAGGCGAAGGCGGGCUACUGGGCUGAUACUGACGCUGAGGCGCGAAAGCUAGGGGAGCAAACGGG
rnacentral:rRNA from 1 species